UCAGACGAUGCGUCAUGCAUAUCAAUAAGCGGAGGAAAAGAAACUAACAAGGAUUCCCCUAGUAACGGCGAGUGAAGCGGGAAGAGCUCAAAUUUGAAAUCUUAAAGGGUUUCCCUUUACGAAUUGUAGUUUAAAGAAGUGUUUUCUGUUGAGGUUUUGGUAAAAGUUCUUUGGAAUAGGACAUCAUAGAGGGUGAGAAUCCCGUAUUUGACCUUUACUUUCAACUUUGUGAUACACUUUCAAAGAGUCGGAUUGUUUGGGAAUGCAGUCCAAAAUGGGUGGUAAAUUUCAUCUAAAGCUAAAUAUUGGCGAGAGACCGAUAGCAAACAAGUACCGUGAGGGAAAGAUGAAAAGAACUUUGAAAAGAGAGUUAAACAGUACGUGAAAUUGUCAAAAGGGAAGCGUUUGACACCAGUGUUGUUUUUCUGAAAAUCAAUUAAAGAACUGUUUAUGCUAAGCUUGUUUAGACCUUUAUCAGCUAUCUGUUUAGUUUUGAGCUUUUCUUUAAUGCACUUUUCAGUUAACAAGUCAACAUCAAUUUCUUUUGCUGUAAAAAAGCUUGAGGAAGGUGGCUUGAGAUUCGUCUUAAGUGUUUAUAGCCUCUUGCCUAUGCAGUCGGAGAGAUUGAGGUCUGCAGCGUAGAUCCUUCGGGGCUAAAUGCAUUUGUGCUAAGUUAUAGCAUUUUAUAGACAACUUGUUGACUAUGAUUUGUCUUGUAGCUUACUCGCUUAUGUUAUUUUACCUACGCUUAGGAUGUUGAGCGCAUGUCUCUCUCU
rnacentral:rRNA from 1 species